rnacentral:misc_RNA from 1 species
CAGAGGUUGCAACCCACAUUACCAUAUCAUAAUUAUCCGCUUGUAUAUAAGCAGUCACUGCUUCUUGUCAUUAUUCGAAGAGGAGUCCCAAGUUCAUCAGCAAUCAAGAGACAUGACGAUGAUGUUGCGGGUGACGUUGAUGGUGAUAGUGAUGCUUCAGGGGACGCUGUCCCUAGAGCAGGAGUAUAAAGACUUGCUUCUCAGGCUCCACAACGACGCAAGGGCAGACGAAGGAGGCUCCGACAUGAAUCAGUUGGUAUGGGACGACCAGCUUGAGAAAGAAGCAGGUGCCUGGGCAAACGGCUGUGUGUUUGAACAUCAGAUGAAAGGACGUGGAGAGAACCUCGCCUUUAAUACCAAUAAGAACCCCGAGACAGAACUAACAGAAAUCGCCUUUAAAGCUUGGUUUGAUGAAAAGAACAUCUACACGUACGGGCAAUAUUCGUGUGGGUCAAGUUGCCAUUACACACAGCUGGUAUGGGCUACGACAAGGCGGGUUGGUUGUGCUAUGAAGAGGUGCAACUAUCUGUCCGGGGGUGCCUCCAACGCCUGGUAUUUGGUGUGUUUCUACGACCCCGCAGGAAACAAGAUGGGCCAGAAGCCCUAUCAACGUGGAGGCUCGUGUAGCAAAUGUAGGGACGACCAGUCGUGCAGCAACCGUCUAUGUGCAGGUGGGGCUGACCCGUGUGAGGACCUGGACGCCAACUGCGACGUGUGGGCCAACUCCAUGCAACAGUGCACACAGAACAAAGAAUUCAUGAAAGAGAAAUGUUCUCUCUCAUGUAAAUUCUGCAAAGCUGGAGGAAAGCCAGCAAAGGGUAACUCUAAGCAGAAACCAUCAGGUGGGGACUGUGCUGACUCCGACAGAAGAUGUCCCUCCUGGGCAAAUAGCGGCUAUUGUACCACAAGACCCCGUUACAUGGAGCCCAGGUGUAAAAAGUCUUGCAACGUCUGUGGGGGAGGUACGUCCAAUGGAGGUAAGAAAGAAAAGGUCACUACAGUAAAGAAGCCGAAGACGAAACAAUGUCGUGACAAGGUCCGGUCAUGCAAACGAUGGGCUAGUCAAAAUCAGUGUGCAAGAAAUCCCGCAUACAUGAAGGUCAAAUGUCCCAAAUCCUGCAAUACUUGCUAUGAUGAAACCACGUGUUAUGACAGUCACGGUAACUGCCGCUCGUGGGCAGAAUACGGUGAAUGUGAUCGAAACCCGGGCUGGAUGUACAAAUACUGUCAGAGAUCGUGCGGACAGUGUGCAGAUACUUCGUCUGGGGACAGAGGGAGUAACUCUAGCUGUAGAGACGAGAACAACAGUUGCGCCAGAUGGGCCAAGUCAGGGGAAUGCAAAAACAACCCGCGCUACAUGUCCAAGAAAUGCAAGAAGUCGUGCAAAACUUGUUGAACACCUGACACAGUAAGAGUCUGAUGCCAUUACCAGUCACUGGUUUGAGAUUUGGGGGAAUGAGUGCAUCGGACUGGAUUCAUCAACUAUAUCAACUCUGAGACAAUUCGUUAUGAUAUUCACAUGUGUACCGUCGAUAAUUCACAGAUUAAACGAGAUUGAGCUUAAA